AGACAGAGCAGGCUCGACUGGGGUCACCUUGGAACACAUUCACAUUCAUAUUCACAGGACUGAUGAUGCGAUCUAGAGAUUAGAUUCAUGUGGACGUGUUCCCAGGUCGCCCCUGUCGAAACCUCCUCUGCU
rnacentral:pre_miRNA from 1 species